rnacentral:rRNA from 1 species
ACAGUUUCGAGGUAGUGACGAGAAAUAACAAUACAGGGCAUUUUAUGCUCUGUAAUUGGAAUGAUGGGAAUGUAAAACCCUUCCAGAGUAACAAUUGGAGGGCAAGUCUGGUGCCAGCAGCCGCGGUAAUUCCAGCUCCAAUAGUGUAUAUUAGAGUUGUUGCAGUUAAAAAGCUCGUAGUUGGAUUUCUGUCGUGGUCAUCCGGCUCCGCCCGUAUGGGUGUGCGCCUGGUUUGCCCUCGGCUUUCUUCCGGUAGCCUUCCGCGCUUCACUGCGUGUGUUGGUGUUCUGGAACUUUUACUUUGAGAAAAAUAGAGUGUUUCAAGCAGGCUUGUCGCCCUGAAUACUUCAGCAUGGAAUAAUAAGAUAGGACCUUGGUUCUAUUUUGUUGGUUUCUAGGACCAAGGUAAUGGUUAAUAGG